rnacentral:tRNA from 1 species
UAGCUCAGUCGGUAGAACAUGAGACUCUUAAUCUCAGGGUUGUGGGUUCGUGCCCCAC